UCAAUCCUGAUGUGUUCGUCAGCCAACAAAUCGUUUUGACCGAACAUUUUUGAAUACGGGAGCUUGAGUUUCUAUAUGGCGCACAAGCCUCAUUUGCUUCAGAGGACUUGCAAAAUAUAGAGCAGGGCACCCACCUGCCGAGAGCGGGUUCAAAACAUUGGGUUAAUGACGGCACGAUUGGGAUUGAU
rfam:Pontibacillus marinus BH030004 = DSM 16465 strain BH030004 contig56, whole genome shotgun sequence.